AUUGAACGCUGGCGGCAGGCCUAACACAUGCAAGUCGAGCGAGAAAGCCUUCGGGUGAGUGCAGCGGCGGACGGGUGAGUAACGCGUAGGAAUCUACCUGGUAGUGGGGGACAACAUGGGGAAACCCAUGCUAAUACCGCAUACGCCCUAUGGGGGAAAGCGGGGGACCUUCGGGCCUCGCGCUAUCAGAUGAGCCUGCGUAGGAUUAGCUUGUUGGUGAGGUAAAGGCUCACCAAGGCGACGAUCCUUAGCUGGUCUGAGAGGAUGAUCAGCCACACUGGAACUGAGACACGGUCCAGACUCCUACGGGAGGCAGCAGUGGGGAAUAUUGCGCAAUGGGCGAAAGCCUGACGCAGCCAUGCCGCGUGUGUGAAGAAGGCCU
rnacentral:rRNA from 1 species